rnacentral:rRNA from 1 species
ACGAACGCUGGCGGCGUGCUUAACACAUGCCAGUCGAACGGAAAGGCCCUGCUUUUGUGGGGUGCUCGAGUGGCGAACGGGUGAGUAACACGUGAGUAACCUGCCCUUUACUUUGGGAUAACUUCAGGAAACUGGGGCUAAUACCGGCUAGGAGCUCCUUCUGCAUGGUGGGGGUUGGAAAGUUUCGGCGGUUGGGGAUGGACUCGCGGCUUAUCAGCUUGUUGGUGGGGUAGUGGCUUACCAAGGCUUUGACGGGUAGCCGGCCUGAGAGGGUGACCGGCCACAUUGGGACUGAGAUACGGCCCAGAAUCCUACGGGAGGCAGCAGUGGGGAAUAUUGCACAAUGGGCGGAAGCCUGAUGCAGCAACGCCGCGUGCGGGAUGACGGCCUUCGGGUUGUAAACCGCUUUCGCAUGUGACGAAGCGUGAGUGACGGUAAUGGGUAAAGAAGCACCGGCUAACUACGUG